rnacentral:lncRNA from 1 species
GCCCUAGAUAAAUAGAAUUUAAUUGCAUUGUAUGAUUUAGAAAAUUCAUAACUUAACUGGAUUUUGCCGUACACUUUCUUUCGUCCCUGCAGAAGAUGAUAAAAUCAACAAACAGUUGAGUUUACCUUGAUAUGGUCCACUCAGGUACACAGUUUAAAUAAUCAAUUAUUGUCAGGUAUGUAUUGUCCAUCUCAUGUCCAUGUCAAGCAAUACAGCUCACUUCAAUUAUUACCUGUGGGGAAGUUCUCAAACCUGUUUCCCAACUUAGUUUAUUUUGGCACCUUCUGGAGGAAUGAAAAAAAGUGCACGGCAAAAUCCUGGUAAGUUUUUAUUUUUCUAAAACAUAAAACAUAUUUGAAAUUUAUUUAUCUAGGGCAUGCCAUGCCUGAAAUUUUUUACAGAUGCGCAGGUUUGUCUGUACUCAGAGUAAAUUUUGAGGUGAAAAUACGGCCAUUUUAGCCAUAGGGUCCACAUGAACCUUAACUG